rnacentral:rRNA from 1 species
GAGCAUGUGGUUUAAUUCGAUGCAACGCGAAGAACCUUACCAAGGCUUGACAUAUACCGGAAACGUUCAGAAAUGUUCGCCCCGCAAGGUCGGUAUACAGGUGGUGCAUGGUUGUCGUCAGCUCGUGUCGUGAGAUGUUGGGUUAAGUCCCGCAACGAGCGCAACCCUCGUCGUAUGUUGCCAGCACGUAAUGGUGGGAACUCAUAUGAGACUGCCGGGGUCAACUCGGAGGAAGGUGGGGAUGACGUCAAAUCAUCAUGCCCCUUAUGUCUUGGGCUUCACGCAUGCUACAAUGGCUGGUACAAUGGGCUGCAAUACCGCGAGGUGGAGCGAAUCCCAAAAAGCCAGUCUCAGUUCGGAUUGGGGUCUGCAACUCGACCCCANGAAGUCGGAGUCGC